rnacentral:rRNA from 1 species
GGGAUAUUGCACAAUGGGCGAAAGCCUGAUGCAGCGACGCCGCGUGAGUGAAGAAGUAUUUCGGUAUGUAAAGCUCUAUCAGCAGGGAAGAAAAUGACGGUACCUGACUAAGAAGCCCCGGCUAACUACGUGCCAGCAGCCGCGGUAAUACGUAGGGGGCAAGCGUUAUCCGGAUUUACUGGGUGUAAAGGGAGCGUAGACGGCGAGGCAAGUCAGAUGUGAAAGGUGUGGGCUCAACUCACAAACUGCAUUUGAAACUGUUUUGCUGGAGUGCAGGAGAGGUAAGCGGAAUUCCUGGUGUAGCGGUGAAAUGCAUAGAUAUCAGGAAGAACACCGGCGGCGAAGGCGGCUUACUGGACUGUAACUGACGUUGAGGCUCGAAAGCGUGGGUAGCAAACA